GAUGAACGCUAGCGGCAGGCUUAAUACAUGCAAGUCGAGGGGCAGCAUGAUUGUAGCAAUACAAUUGAUGGCGACCGGCAAACGGGUGCGGAACACGUACACAACCUUCCAACAAGUGGGGGAUAGCCCAGAGAAAUUUGGAUUAAUACCCCGUAACAUAGCGAUGUGGCAUCACAUUGCUAUUAUAGAUUUUUCGCUUGUUGAUGGGUGUGCGGCUGAUUAGAUAGUUGGCGGGGUAACGGCCCACCAAGUCUACGAUCAGUAGCUGAUGUGAGAGCAUGAUCAGCCACACGGGCACUAGGGCACGGGCCCGACUCCUACGGGAGGCAGCAGUAAGGAAUAUUGGACAAUGGACGCAAGUCUGAUCCAGCCAUGCCGCGUGAAGGAUUAAGGUCCUCUGGAUUGUAAACUUCUUUUAUAAGGGACGAAAAAAGGCUUUUCUAAGUCGUCUGACGGUACCUUAUGAAUAAGCACCGGCUAACUCCGUGCCAGCAGCCGCAGUAAGAC
rnacentral:rRNA from 1 species